AUACCAUAGUGUGGGCAAUGUUUUUGCAAGUCUUUAAAUCUCUUUCAAGCUUCAUAAAGAGAUUCUCCAGAUUGUUGCUUAACCUAGAAAGGUCUUGGUGAUAUU